rnacentral:tRNA from 2 species
AAGGCUAUAGCUUAAUUGGUAAAGCAAACUGCUCAUGAUAGUUUAGAUAGGUGUUCAAAUCACCUUGGCCUUA